rnacentral:misc_RNA from 1 species
CAACUCCAAAUCAAAGCCACAAAAGUUUCACCUUCGAUUGAUACUCUCUACAUAGAUUAUAUAUAGGGUUUUAAAGUUUUGGUCUUUUUUUUUUUAUCCAAUCAACUGAAGAAAAUCAUGGAUCAGAAUCAGAAUCAGAAUCAGCAUCAGGUCGAUCUUACCCAUGAAACUAAACCACAAUCCCAAGAGUCCCAAAUUCUUGAGAAGCAGAAUCCUCACACCUCCGACUAUGCUCCUUAUCCAAAGCUCGACCC